UGAAAGGCAUCUGAGAAGAAUUCUUAAAGCACUGGGAUUGAGGCGAAGAAGUGAUCACAGACCACUGCAUGCAAUACGUCAGGCUAUAGAGAAUGAACUUAAACAUUGGUCACCAGCCAAAGGUAUUCGAGCAAUGCACAGGAGAAUAAGGGACGGAAAGGGUCUCCGGCCUUGCUACAGAGAUGAUGUCCAUGAAUUCAUGAGAGAGCUGGAUGGUAGCGGUCUUGUGAGACGUCGUGCAGGGAGAAAAAGAAUAGAAAGGAGGAAUUACUUUAGUCACGGACCCAAUGACAGCUGGCAUAUAGAUGGUAA